UGUUAAAAUUUUUAUUCAUUUGUAUUGCUAAGAACUGACGUAGCUGACGGAAUAAUCAGAAAGUGACAUGUGACGUGCUACGUAUACUUUAUGCUGAUGGACAAUGACCAGUUUAUAACAAUAAAAUUAGAAGAAUUUUUUAAUA
rnacentral:pre_miRNA from 1 species